UCCUGGCUCAGGAUGAACGCUGGCGGCGUGCCUAAUACAUGCAAGUCGAACGCGGGCACUUGUGCCCGAGUGGCGAACGGGUGAGUAAUACAUAAGUAACCUGGCCUUUACAGGGGGAUAACUGCUGGAAACGGCAGCUAAGACCGCAUAGGUAGGGACACUGCAUGGUGACCGUAUUAAAAGUGCUGCAAGGCACUGGUAGAGGAUGGACUUAUGGCGCAUUAGCUGGUUGGUGAGGUAACGGCUCACCAAGGCGACGAUGCGUAGCCGACCUGAGAGGGUGACCGGCCACACUGGGACUGAGACACGGCCCAGACUCCUACGGGAGGCAGCAGUAGGGAAUUUUCGGCAAUGGGGGGAACCCUGACCGAGCAACGCCGCGUGAAGGAAGAAGGAAUUCGUUCUGUAAACUUCUGUUAUAAAGGAAGAAAGACGGAUGGAGGAAAUGACAUCCGAGUGACGGUACUUUAUGAGAAAGCCACGGCUAACUACGUGCCAGCAGCCGCGGUAAUACG
rnacentral:rRNA from 1 species